UUGAACGCUGGCGGCAGGCCUAACACAUGCAAGUCGAACGGUAACAGGAAGCAGCUUGCUGCUUCGCUGACGAGUGGCGGCCGGGUGAGUAAUGUCUGGGAAGCUGCCUGAUGGAGGGGGAUAACUACUGGAAACGGUAGCUAAUACCGCAUAAUGUCGCAAGACCAAAGAGGGGGACCUUCGGGCCUCUUGCCAUCGGAUGUGCCCAGAUGGGAUUAGCUUGUUGGUGGGGUAACGGCUCACCAAGGCGACGAUCCCUAGCUGGUCUGAGAGGAUGACCAGCCACACUGGAACUGAGACACGGUCCAGACUCCUACGGGAGGCAGCAGUGGGGAAUAUUGCACAAUGGGCGCAAGCCUGAUGCAGCCAUGCCGCGUGUAUGAAGAAGGCCUUCGGGUUGUAAAGUACUUUCAGCGGGGAGGAAGGGAGUAAAGUUAAUACCUGUGCUCAUUGACGUUACCCGCAGAAGAAGCACCGGCUAACUCCGUG
rnacentral:rRNA from 1 species